UGGCCCCGCCCCCGCCUUGCAAGCAGCCGCCUUCGCCUCCUCUUAGUCUUGACCGGAAAUCGUGCGCCGGAAGCGGAAGCCCCUCCCCCGGAAGCGGUGGUGCGGGAAGAUGGCGGUGCUGGGGCGACCGCGGGGCUUGGUGGCGGUGAACAGGCUGCUUCUGGCUGUUCCGCAGGUGACUGCAGUUGUGGUGCGAUGUGCAUCCAAGAAGAGUGGGGGCAGCUCAAAAAAUCUUGGUGGCCACAGUCCCGGGAAACGCUAUGGCUAUAAGAAAACAGAAGGUUCAUUUGUUCAUGCAGGCAAUACAUUAGCCACCCAACGGAUGAUACGCUGGCAUCCAGGGGCUCAUGUGGGGAUGGGUUGUAACAAGACUCUCUUUGCUCUGGAGGAUGGGAUUGUGCGAUUCACCAAGGAGGUCUAUGUGCCACCACCCCGCAGCCAAGAGAGCAGGGAAGUGAUCUGUCGUCUACCAAAAGGAGUGGUGCUUUACAAAACCUUCAUCAACGUUGUCCCCACCAAAGAAGUAGGGAGCUUCAAGCUAGUCACCAUGCUCUGAGGCUCUGUUGCCUCACGCAGUAAUGACUGAGUACCACAUCUGUCAAGGUAAUCAAUCAAAAAGAUGUCUGGAGGACUCCUCUAGCUCUGAAAUGACUUGUUGGCGACUCCAGUUUCCUGCUCCUGGAACUCACUGGGUGUAAAUUUGAGAGUUACAAGCAUUUUGGGAUUGUACAGCAAGUUGCUCCACGAGUCCUAGCCCUUGCUGAACCUUUAUCUUGUCGGAACUUACAAGUCUUCCUCCACGUAGCAGUUUUUAGAUCCCCGAGGAAUGUGGAGCACAGAGCUAUGAUUUGAUGAUAGCAGCUCUAGUACAAAUACAUUCAU